rnacentral:rRNA from 2 species
AUACAUGCAAGUCGAGCGGUCGACGGCUCUUCGGAGGCGUCGGCAGCGGCGGACGGGUGAGGAACACGUGAGUAACCGGGCGUCCGGUGGGGGAUAUCGGGCCGAAAGGCGCGGCAAUCCCGCAUGCGCCCCGGGCGGCGCCAGCCGCCGGGGGGAAAGGCCUUCGGGUCGCCGGACGGGGGAGCUCGCGGCCCAUUAGCUAGUUGGGGGGGUAACGGCCUCCCAAGGCGACGAUGGGUAGCCGGCCUGAGAGGGUGAUUCGGCCACACUCGGACUGAGACACGGCCCAGACUCCUACGGGAGGCAGCAGUAGGCUUUCUUCCACAAUGGGCGCAAGCCUGAUGGAGCAACGCCGCGUGAGUGAAGACGGCCUUCGGGAUGUAAAGCUCGUGUCUGUCGGGACGAGGACCGCGCUGUAGGGCGCGGGGGGACGGUACCGGCGGAGGAAGCCCCUGCAAACUACGUGCCAGCAGCCGCGGUAAGACGUAGGGGGCAAGCGUUGUCCGGAAUUACUGGGCGUAAAGGGCGUGUAGGCGGUUGCGCACGUAGCGGUUUUCAGCCGUCGGCUCACCCGACGGAGGGCGGCUAAACGGCGCAGCUCGAGGGCAGGAGAGGUGCAUGGAAUUCCUGGUGGAGCGGUGAAAUGCGUAGAGAUCAGGAAGAACACCGGUGGCGAAGGCGGUGCACUGGCCUGGCCCUGACGCUGAGGCGCGACAGCGUGGGGAGCGAACGGGAUUAGAUACCCCGGUAGUCCACGCCGUAAACGAUGGAUACGAGGUGUCGCGGGGGUCCACCUCGCGGUGCCGGAGCUAACGCACUCAGUAUCCCGCCUGGGGAGUACGGCCGCAAGGUUGAAACUCAAAGGAAUUGACGGGGGGCCCGCACAAGCAGUGGAGCAUGUGGUUUAAUUCGACGCAACGCGCAGAACCUUACCAGGGCUAGACGGGACCGUGAGCCGCGCGAAAGCGCGGGGCUGCUUCGGCAGAGCGGUCGUCAGGUGCUGCAUGGUUGUCGUCAGCUCGUGUCGUGAGAUGUUGGGUUAAGUCCCGCAACGAGCGCAACCCUCGUCGGCUGUUGCCAGCGAUUCGGUCGGGCACUCAGCCGAGACAGCCGGGGACGACCCGGAGGAAGGUGGGGAUGACGUCAAAUCCGCAUGGCCUUCAUGUCCUGGGCUACACACGUGCUACAAUGGCGCCGACAACGGGCCGCGACCUCGCGAGGGGGAGCGAAUCCUUCAAACGGCGUCUCAGUUCGGAUUGCAGGCUGCAACUCGCCUGCAUGAAGCCGGAAUUGCUAGUAAUCGCGGAUCAGCAUGCCGCGGUGAAUCCGUUCCCGGGCCUUGUACACACCGCCCGUCACACCACGAGAGUCGGCCACACCCGAAGCCGGUCGGUCGAACCCCGUCAGGGGACGACCCCGUCGA